GCCUGGGUGGCUUAGUCGGUUGAGCGGCUGACUUUGGCUCAGGUCAUGAUCUUGCAGUCCGUGAGUUCGAGCCCCGCGUCGGGCU
rfam:Felis catus isolate Cinnamon breed Abyssinian chromosome B3, whole genome shotgun sequence.